UUAUGCGACUUAUUGGUCUUGUUGAGCGAUGGGGGUUGGGGCUGCUUGUGUGAAUCGAGGGGGGAGGGAGUGUAUUUUCGCAGUGAUCUGCCCAUCUUGUGCGUCCCCUCCCUGCUUAAGCUGAAUAAUGUGGUCAGGAUACCAUGUUCAGGAGAUGUCUAAUCGGGUCGCACCAAAACUGAUACGUUGCAAUGGCUGCUCUUUAAUAACGGAGACGUUACUCUUUUAAUAUUAAAGGACGUUUUUGCCCCCUGAUUUUGGUGGGAUCCACUGAAUGGAAAAGAACUUGAAACUCAUUCAAGAGUCAAGAAAAGAAAAUGCUAUAGAGGAGGUUUUAUCGAGAGCACAUAUGAAGAACAUUGAGGACAAUGGCGACUGUGGACUCAGGCAGUCCCUGGGUUGCACAAGGGUUCCAUUCUGGAGUAGGUUUACAAAUCAAUUUGUAAACAAGUCGAAACACCAUGCAAGACAAUGUAAAGCAUCUGUUUGUAAAUACAGAAAAUGUUUGAAAGUUGAAUGUUUAAAAUUAUAUCCCUGUACAAGAUCACAUUCUUAAGUACAAGCAUUUGUAAGUCAGACAUUCGUAAACCGGAGAUCCCCUGUAAAUAGCUUUGUUCAUUCCAGUUUGUAUAAUUAUAUAAUAUUUUCUAUAACUCAUUUUAUUGUUAAAACAGAAUCUGCAGCAUUUCGUUUUUGUGUUUCAGUAGGGAAAAAAAAACUUGUUAAAUAAAACCCAAAUGUAAUUGUUCAAGCCAAA